rnacentral:lncRNA from 1 species
UUCUCUAAAGAUAUCUUAUGAACAACAGAAAUUUUCCAUAAAGCAAAAAAAAGUUCGGCAAAUCUGUAAAAUUUAAACUAAUUCAAACAUGCUUAGAUUAACCAACACAAGCACUCAUAGCUGAAAACCGGGAUUAAACUAAUUUCAAUAGAUAUCGUACUCUAGUAUUUUCAAACAAUUUCAACCAAUUUGAGAAGAAAUACACAUCUCUUACACACUAGAAUAACAGAGAUCAGAACUGGAACCAAUCUACGAGAAGCUAAAGAGGAAACAACAAUUUUUUAUCAUUUCAAUAAAGCAUAAGCGAGAACGUUUCCACAACUUUCCUGAUCGCCCAAAGAAAAGCUCAAACAAGCUAAAUGAAGGCAGAAACAAACUCGACAGAACUCGAACAGCGUAUCAACGAAAAACUCAACGGACCGGAAACGGCGACCUGAAUAGAUCCACUCGACUAGAUUUGGGUAGCGAAUUUUAGCUGACUUUCGCACUGAUGUGGUGUAGUUUCAGGGAGUUUUGAAGAUAGGUUCACCGCUGGGUUCGAACUCUA